rnacentral:rRNA from 1 species
CAGUAGCCGCGGGAAUACGUAGGGUGCGAGCGUUAAUCGGAAUUACUGGGCGUAAAGCGUGCGCAGGCGGUUUUGUAAGACAGGCGUGAAAUCCCCGGGCUCAACCUGGGAAUGGCGCUUGUGACUGCAAAGCUAGAGUGCGGCAGAGGGGGAUGGAAUUCCGCGUGUAGCAGUGAAAUGCGUAGAUAUGCGGAGGAACACCGAUGGCGAGGGCAAUCCCCUGGGCCUGCACUGACGCUCAUGCACGAAAGCGUGGGGAGCAAACAGGAUUAGAUACCCCGGUAGUCCCUGUCUCUUAUAC